GCUUACAUUGUGAGGGCAUAAAAGGCCAGGGUUUGCUUUGCUCAGGGUUCCUCUUGCAGGCACCAGCUUGAGCUUUUAUUUCAUUGUUGUACCAUGAUUAAACUAUUUGAAGGAUCCAGACCACUGAGACUCUGAUAUGGAAAACCUGGGGUUAAGAAAGCUUUCCCAACAAAAAACAUUAGAAACACAAAGAAGAAAAAGGAAUCAAUCUUGCCACAAAAAGAAUUGAAACCUAUGCACCUGGGAGAAGAACCAACUGCAGGAAAAAAAAGGAAGAAAUACAGUGGAAAAUGGAUGGGAAAGUUGAUGAAACUGAAAGGUCACUCACAAAUCACUUAUGAGGAAGCCCAUCUGUUCAGCACAGGUGCCUACACAAAUAUUAAAAACAGCAAAGGAAGCCCCAAAA